rnacentral:tRNA from 1 species
GCGAGACGUGGAUGUGUUCGAUCGGCGUCGCGUCGGCGGGCCACGCGAGCGUGUCGAGCAGCACGCGGCUGCCGUGCGACACGGCGAUCGCGCGC